GCUGCUCCCUCUUCUCCCUCCUGAGGAAAAACCAGUUUGUUUCUUUUAUUGUCUGUCGCCAACCUUGCCUCUAAAAACUCAACUAAACCCCGGCCGUGCUCCUCGUGCUUCCUUCCCAGCUGCCUUUAGCUCCUCUCCUCUACGCCACUUGCCCCUGCUUUCCUGUCCUCCUUCCUCGGAGGGAGAACCGCACUGCUCAGGACCUGCCCUGGGGUCCCCAGGAGCCGCUGCUGACCCCAAAGGCCUGUGCAGGGCACCCCGUACAGUAAGUGUGCUGGUCUCUCUCCCUCCUCAGGCCUCCUCAGGACAGCGACAGACCCCUCCAAGCCUGGACAUUCUUCUGUUCCUCUCACGUGCAUGACUCUUUAGCCAUGUCUCUGCUCCGCAUUAUCACUACAACAAAAAGCGAUUUCUUAUUUCACAUCAAACGCAAAGCUGGGCCCUGAUAUCUGGAGGUUCAGAGAUGCGUACGUACAGGCUGGGAUGUGCCCUCCCCCGAGUGCUUAGAUCCCAGGCAGGAGCCGGAAGAAUCAGCACCUGCUCCCUCUGUCUUUGGGGUCCCCAGACUGGUGCUGGGGACUCUGUUUGCAAUCAGCAAAGAACCCUGCUGCCCUCCGACUUCCCACAGUGCCAGCAAGACCUACAGAAAGGGGUAAAAAACUCUAUUCAGACUUUAAAACCCCAUUUAUACUGUAAUAAAAUAAAUGUAAAUAAGAUUUAAGUGAAGGCAGAUUGCAGAUAUUUCAGAUGCUGUUCGAGAUAGAUCUCAGAACAUGGAUGUAAAUUCUGCAAAGGUUAAUGCAGUUAAACAUAUUUGACACAUAAAAAUGUCAG
rnacentral:lncRNA from 1 species